AACACGACUCUCGGCAAUGGAUAUCUCGGCUCUUGCAUCGAUGAAGAGCGCAGCGAAAUGCGAUACGUGGUGCGAAUUGCAGAAUCCCGUGAAC
rnacentral:rRNA from 2 species